AGUGAUACUCAGGAGAGCGGGGCGUUAGGAUUACCAAGGGAUAGUUGUCUAAAACCAAAACCCUCAACAAACAAACGAUCUUUCAUUUUCUAAAUUCCAAUGGCUGAAAUCGUUGUUAGCGCGAUCUUCACUGCGCUGUAUGAGAAAUUCAUCUCUCGUAACUUGAGGAGGGUGGCUCGAUCCGAAGGAAUCGAUUCUCGUCUGAAGAAAUGGAUUAAAACAUUGCUGAUGAUCGAAGCUGUGCUUGCCGAUGCAGAUGAGAAACAGAUAACAAAUCGAGCUGUUCAAUUGUGGCUGAAAUGUCUCCAGGAUUUGGCUUACGACAUAGACGAUGUACUCGAUGAUUUGGCCACUGAGGCUAUACGACGCAAUUUGAAUCAAGAAUCUUAUGUCAGCAUUAAGUUCAUCCCAACUUGUACUAAUUUCACUCGUCGAAGCUUUAUGUAUGGUCGUCAGGUGAGUUCUAGGCUUGAUGAGAUAGCCACCAAACUAAAAGAUCUUAUUGACGCGAAAAAUGAUCUGGGGUUGAAAGUGAAUGUUGAAAGGUCGAAUAGAAGAACGAGACGUUUGGAGCAAACUCCACUGAUUGAUGAGUACAAAAUCAUGGGUCGAGGAGGGGAUAAAGAAGCACUUCUCGUGAAGUUGUUGGGGAAUGAAGCAUGUGAUGAAAAUGUGAGCAUAGUGUCGAUAGUUGGAAUGGUUGGGAUUGGCAAAACCACUCUUGCAAAAGUUUUGUACAACGACUACAAAGUGCAGGAUCACUUUGAAGUCAGGGCAUGGGUCAAUGUUUCUGAAGAGUUUGAUCUGUUCACUAUUAGCAAGGCUAUUUUUGUAGUUUUAGGUGGCGAGGACAAAAGCUUUUCUAAUCUUGAUAUGCUUCAGGUUGCCCUAAAAGAUAAACUUUUAAAGAAAAGGUACCUACUUGUUCUAGAUGAUGUUUGGAACAAAUCCUACACUGAUUCGGAAAUUCUCCAAAGGCCUCUUCUUGUAGGGGCACCUGGAAGUAGAAUUAUAGUUACAACCUACGAUGUCGGGGUUGCAUUGAUAAUGGGCUCUGAUGAACCUUACAAUCUUGAUGUAUUGUCAGAUGAAGAUGCUCUGUCUUUACUUGCUCAACAUGCGCUCGGUGAAAAAAACUUUGACAAAAGGCCAACACUUAAAUCGCUUGGUGAAGGUUUUGUGAAGAAAUGUGGUGGAUUACCUUUGGCUUUGACAAUGUUUGGGAAGUCAUUGAGGACAAAAGUUGAUGCUGAUGAGUGGAAAAUGUUGUUGAAUACUGAGAUGAAGGAUGUGCAGAUUGGAAGAGAGAUUCUUGCAUCUCUAAGAUCAAGCUACUAUGAUCUCCCUUCACAUUUGAAGCAAUUAUUUGCAUACUGCUCCUUAAUUCCCAAGAACUAUGUGUUUAACAAGAAUGAAUUAGUCCUAAUGUGGAUGGCACACGGAUAUCUGUCCGGAUCAAUUAGCAACAAGUCAAUGGAGCAUUUGGGUCAUCUGUAUUUUGAAGAGCUAAAGUCAAUGUCCUUUAUUCAACAUUCAGCGACUGGUGAAUUAGGAUAUACAAUGCACACCCUGAUCAAUGACUUGGCAACAACUGUCGCAGAAGAGUUCUUCUUUAGAUUGGAUGAUGAGAUGAACAUGUCCAACACAAAUGAAACCUUCAAGAAGCUUCGUCAGUUUUCUGUAAGUCCAAGAUGUGGAUCAUAUAGAAAGCUUAAAGAAUUACAAGGAGCUACACGCUUACAAACUCUCUUACUGAUUCCAUCACUUGGUGGGAAAGGUUAUGGCUUAUUGGACAAUCUUCUUGCUGAAUUACUUCCUAAACUACAGUUCUUAAGGGUGCUAAGUGCAGCUAAUCAGGAAAUCACAAAGGUACCAGAAUCCAUUGGCAGUCUCAAGCAUCUGCGGUACCUCAAUUUUUCUGAUACUGCAAUCACAUGUUUACCGCAACAAGUGAGUCACCUUUAUAAUUUACAGACCUUGUUGCUUCGCAACUGUUAUCAGCUAUCCGAAUUGCCAGAAAGUUUUUCAAACUUAAUAAACCUGCGACAUCUUGACAUAAGUGGUACUCCGAAUCUGAACAAGAUGCCCUUGGGGAUCGGUGGGUUGUCAAGUCUACAAACUCUGCCCAAGGUCAUUAUUGAAGGAGCAAAUGGGUUCAAAAUAUCGGAGCUCAAGGGCCUAUCGAAUUUUCAAAGUGAACUUUCGAUUUCAGGGUUGGACAAAGUGACAGAUCCAAAACAAGCAAAGGACGCCAACUUACAUCAGAAGGAGGGUCUUGAUGUGUUGGAAAUGAAAUGGAGUAAUGUGUUUGAUGGUUCUCGGAAUGAGAUGAAUGAGUAUAAAGUACUUGAAGACCUAAGGCCUCAUCCUAAGUUAAGAAACCUGAAAAUUUUGUUCUACAAGGGAACCAGAUUUCCUAGUUGGGUUGGGGAUCCCUCAUUUAGUCGGUUAACUGAGCUUACUUUAUGUGGUUGUAGAAGUACACAUUUACCACCACUUGGACAUCUAAAGUCACUUCGAAAACUUUUUCUUACAAGGAUGAAUGAGGUGAAGAUUGUGGGUUUUGAGUCACUUGAACCCGCUAAUUCUCCCCUUGAGAUUGCAUUUCCAUCACUUGAAGUUUUGAAAUUUGAUGAUAUGCCAGGUUGGCAAAGAUGGCUACUUAUUUGUGGCGACAACCAUGGAACUUUUAGACCAUUUCCUUGUCUCCAUGAAAUUUCUAUAACACGUUGUCCUAAACUAGAUGUAGUGUUUGUUGAUAGAAUACCAUCACUUCGGCUUUUACAUAUAGAAGAAUGUUCUGGAGUGGUGUUAAGAAGCAUGGUUGGUGUGUCUUCAUCACUUGUUUCACUAGAAAUGUUGAAUCUAAAAGGACUUACUCGACUACAUGGAGAAUAUUUGAAGCAUCUCGGGGCACUUGAAGAUCUAUAUAUCGCUGGAUGUGAUGAACUGAUACACUUGGGAGAACCUGUUAGUGUACACAAGUUGGAGGUGCUAAAUUGUAAAAAAUUAGCAUCAUUGGGAGAGAAAGAGGUGAAAAAUGCGAUUAGCAUGCGACCUAUUAAAGAAGUGAUAUGUCUCAACUGUGACUCACUAGAGAGUUACACCUGUCCAAAAACUGUUGAGAAGUUGGUGAUCGGUUGGUGUCGUUCAAUGACAUCUUUGACCUUACACGAGCUCGACUCCUCGUUGAAAGAAUUGUGUAUAAAUGAUUGUCCAAAUAUGGACUACUCGUUUCCUUCUGGGUCAUGGCCUCUUAAUUUAAGCAAACUAACGAUUGGAGGCUUAAAAAAGCCUAUGUCAGAGUGGGGAUUUCAGAAUUUUCCAACCUCAUUACUUGAACUACACUUGUAUGGAGAAAAUUCAGAAGUAGAUUCAUUUGCUGUGGCAACAGAAGCGAGGAAUGCCACUGCUACUUCUUCAUCAACCUUUAUUCUUCCAUCAUCUCUAACUUCUCUAUCACUCGAUGGUUUUAUGGAUGUGGAAUCACUUUCAGAGGUCUUAAAACACCUCCCGUUCCUUCAACGUCUUGAUAUUUGGUCAUGCCCGAAGCUUAGAGAUCUGCCCGAGACAACUUCCGACUCCUCAUCUUUGACAAUAAGGGUGUGGCAUUAGAAAAGGUGAGACUUUCAUGUGUGGUGUGAAACUGUUGGAGGGUAGAUGGGUGAUAAGUGCUUUAAAGGACAGUGGGAAUAGAAAAAGAAAGACUUUUAACCAAAAAGUAUUUGUAUCCAUCAUAUUCGGAGACCCACUAAAGGAAAAUUAUUCUAAAUUAUUCUAUAUUCUGGACAGCUGUAAGCUAAGUAUUCUAUAUUCUGCAGUCUGAACGUAUGUAAAGAGCUUUUGGUUGUGUUGUAAAGCGUAUUGGGCUACAUGUGUUGAGUGGGCUGAUUCUCUGGAUUGGACGCAUAUGGGCUUUGACAUUGGGUAGAAAGUGCCGAAGACAGGAGGGGGAGAAAGUGACAAGCAGCUGAAGAUUUGGAUUCGGAGUAAACUUUCAGCUGUAGAGGGUGUAUAAGCUCAUGAACAAAGCUAUAAGUCGGUCAUUAUUCACAUAUCGUCUUCACAGAACAAAAUAUCUUCAAAGGGUGUUCUUGUUCGUUUUAGGGUUUUGUACAUGAACUUGUAUACAUCAUGUCAUCAUAAUCAUUCUUGUAAAUUGAUAAUAAUCCAGAGAAAACGAGUAGGGUUUUAUUACUAA